CAGAAGUGAGGACAAACUUCAUUUACCCCUCUGUUGAUGGGGCCCCGCCUUUGUCUCUCUCCCUGGAGGGUGCCUGCCCCGUAGGGGACUCAUUAAGCAAUAAUCUCAAGGGGCUGGGCCAGAGACAUCUGGAUUUCCCCCCAUUUCCCCGUAGGCUAAGUUGUAAGGAAGACCACAGGCUGGCCCACCCCCUGCAAGGAGUUUUCAUGCUCCCGGUGUGGCUGGGGACGGUGGAUGGCGCCCUCUGCUGGGCUCACGAUGCGAAUUGCAUCUGUCAUCUCUGGAGUAAACGCCAUAGGGACCCCUGACUUUUCGGGGGUGGCUUGGCCCCCUGUGUCCUGAGAUACAAGACUGCUCCUCUUUUUAACAACAUAUAAAACGUUGAUCCCAGACAGAACUGGUUUUUGUUGCAAGAAGGAGAAGGAACCAGGAGGCACUGGGGAAAACGAAGCUUCAGACCCCAAAGUGACUUCUCCACUUCUCCUCGUGGGGUUCCACACCCACUAGGCGGUGGCGGUUAAGCGGCAGGCUGGGUCUGAGGGUCUGAGGAGGGAGGGCGCAGGCCUCCGGAAUGCCCAAGCAGAGCAGAGCGGUGACGACGGCACGGAGACAGGGGCAGGGCUUGCCAGAACUCAAAAGGUGUGGGCAGGUGAGCGUGGGGGUGGGGAACGGCCGACUUCCGGGUCAACAGUGGGAAAGGAAGCCCUGAACUUGGGUAGGAUCUCACAAAGGAUGCUAGGAACAGUUUGAAGGAGACAGGCAUGGGUGGUUUCUUGGUUACUUGAGGGCUGAUUAAAAAAAAAAAAAACAAACCAAAAACCCAGAGAGUCCAAAGACCGUCCCCACCGGUGCUUGGAUUUCCUGCGAGUUUAGAUGGGUGAUGUCCACACUGUGCUCUGAGGGACGUGGAAGGAUUCCACUGAGCCUCCUCACAGCGGAGGGGAGGAGGACCCCGUGGGCCGCGCUCAGGCCCUCCUCACAGGCAGCUCUUCUGACCCCAUCGGUGGCACCUACUGGGCGUCCAGAUUGGAUCUUUGUUUGAGCCAGAAACUCAGCCAGAGCACAUUCAAAAUCCACCAAUCACAAGCAAUUCUUUUCUUGGCGACGUAAAACAGGGGAGGCUCCGAGGCUGCAAACAGGACAUCCUCCCAAGCUGAGGCUCUUAACGGCACGAUCGAUCGUGGCCUCCCCUCACCACCCCGCCCCCUGCCCCACUGAUCGGGGUGACCGCAAAAAUGCCCCUCGGUUCAGGAAUCUGAACUCGGAGGACCCUUCCUCGGUCAAGAUGAAACGGGACAACCGUUUUCCAGAAGGUGAUGAGAAACUAGCGGUGUGAAUCCCACACCUCGCCCUGGAUCCAAAGCCUGGCAACGUCCAAAGACCGUAAUCUUGGACUGAAUGUGCACUCACCGAGCAGAGACAGCAAAUUAUACCCUCAGGGAAUCUUCCCUCAGGAGGGCCACGGUUUUGUGGGCAUAUUCUUUCCACGGUGAAGAAAUAAAAGUGAAUCUAGGGGUAAACCACUUUGCUCGGUGCACGUUCACAAAGCCUGAUCUUUGCCGCGAAGAUGGGCAUGUAAGGCUUGUUAAGUGAAUGUUAAUAACCAGGUGCUCGGACCUUCUUAGAGGGCUGGUCAUCUCCCGUUUCAGUCAUUAGUGGCCCGUGGGAAUAGUGGCUCCAUAAAACCUUGUGUAUUUUCUUUCGAGAUUUCUCUGUCAGGCUUAUGGAGAGGCAUACAAGGGGCGCUCGCCACCCAGAAAUGAUGCACGUGGGGGACUUCGACAUCACAGGCCACGUCCGUCCCGGGAAUGGCCUCGCCCUUCAGAGAGCAGUGUCACCUCCGCAGGAUGCCGGCUGCUUAUGCGGAGGCUGUGGCACGAGGAGAUGGCAGGAGACUCACCGUCAACGUCGGGACAACGUCAGAGUCUAGAACCGCUCCCACUCCGUGCCCAGCGUUGCUCUACUCUGGGCAGCGUGAGACAGCGACACCACUUUGAGCCAUUUGGAUCGGGCGGCCUGUGGCUUGCGGCCAAAUACGUCCUCAGGGAGACAAGGCUCACGUGCCCAGGCGACCCAGAACCCAGACUCAGGAGACCUGAGUUGAUUCCAGUCCCAGCUCCCCCGGAAAUUUAACCCGAUGUCACUCUCUUCGCCUGCACAGUGUGGAGCAAGAAAAUGGAUCCACUCUGCGGCGCAGUUCACUCUAUGGGAAACAAUGAUAAUUGCUCUGGAACCGAACACCAGCCUCCCCUUGCGCUCACUGAUAACGAUGCAAAUUCUCCCGCUUGCCUGUAAUGUGGCUCAGAACAAAAAUGCCUUUUCUGGUCCGUGCUGGGAAUAAUUCCUGAAACUCAGUGAAAAUCCCAGGCGCCCUUUGUGUUAAAACGAGUUUUCGCAGCUUCCACUUGUAGAGAGAGCCAGAUUACAUAAUUGCAUUCAGGAGGCCACCACUAGAAAGUAGCUCAUGUGCGCGAUCAACGCUAAAUUCUUUGGGGAGGGGGGUAAAGAAAUACACCUUCUUGGACUUUCUUUGUUGUACUCUUCACAAUCGAGCGCAAUGGCCAUCAGGGGUCUUCUUCUGAGCUGUCACAUUGCUUAAAUGAGUGCAUGUCGGACGUUUCCAGAGGGGCGAGCUCGGUAGGCACCGAAAAGGGAAGGGUCUCCUCGAGGCUUUGGGUUUUUCGGAAUGAAGGCAUAGAGCACUUUAACUUCGGAGCAAGUUGCCCUCAUUCAACACAGAGUUCAAAGACGCUCAGACACUUGGAGGGAGAGGAGGGGAGAAGUUCUAGGCUUUGCUCCUCACAGGCGAACACCCCACGGUGACAUUUGAAAGGCACUGUGGAGGUAAUGACUGCUCCAAAUAUACUUAGAAAUGCUUCGCUCUUCAUUGUUCUUUAUGUGUCUCAUUAUUGUCAUGUCAAAAAAAAAAGUUGCAAGUGACACAUGUUGUUCCUCUGAAAAAGAAAGUCCAAGUCCGCAGGUGAAACCUAAGCGUAUAUGCGGGAAGUGGAGGCCCGAACGUCACCUCCGUGAGCACAGAGACCGCGUCGCCUCUGGCUGCAGGCGUUGUAACAGAAAGGCAUUUCAUUUACUGCGUGUUCGCCCAUCACUGCUCCAUUCCACCUUCUGGGUGCCUGGGAUGCUUAUCGGUACAGAUCUGAGCACAAUCCCCAAGGGGCGAGCAGAAGAAUCCUGAACAUUCCAGUCCAUUGUUUCAGUAACACGGCCCGGCCCGUCUGCUAACUCCACUGUCCGUAUCAGAUUGCGGUUCGGUCCUCGGGAGCUGCAAGGGCCAUCGCCGCCAAGUCAGCUUCCCUUCUGGGGCUUCAACUUGAGCCACUUUUGUUCUGACCUCAGGACCUUUGCUCCUGCUCUGGCUUCUGCCGCGAGGAGCACUGCCCCCUGGCGUGCGUAGCCGGGCCUUUUUGCCAUUCAGGGGUCAGCACCUCAUGGCACCCACCAACACCCGGUCCCUUACUGUGUUUCCUUCCUGCCACUUAUUACGUACGUGACAUUUGUGUCUUCAUUUGUCUACCUGUUCCAUUUCAGAAUCCCUGACUCAAACAUCAGGCACGCAAACUUGUUCUGAGCUCAUCUCUCCGAAAACACGGUACCGGGCCAUGAGUCACCUUAGACGUGAAACCAAAAGCUCACUUUAUGUUAGUGAUUCAUUUGUGUUUUUGAAAUUAAACAAUAAUUUCCUUUA